GCGCGAGAAUGGGUCUUCGGAUCCUAGUAAAGCGGCGGACGGGUGAGUAACACGUGGAUAAUCUGCCCUUCGGCGGGGGACAACAGUCCGAAAGGAUUGCUAAUACCGCAUACGUCGGCGAGGUCUUCGGAUCUUGCCGGGAAAGAUGGCCUCUUCAUGAAAGCUAUCACCGAAGGAUGAGUCCGCGUCCCAUCAGCUAGUUGGCGGUGUAAUAGACCACCAAGGCUAAGACGGGUAGCUGGUCUGAGAGGAUGAUCAGCCACACUGGAACUGAGACACGGUCCAGACUCCUACGGGAGGCAGCAGUGGGGAAUAUUGGGCAAUGGGCGCAAGCCUGACCCAGCCAUGCCGCGUGAGUGAUGAAGGCCUUCGGGUCGUAAAGCUCUGUGGGGAGGGAAGAAACAGACUAUGGCUAACAUCCAUGGUCCUUGACGGUACCUCCUUAGCAAGCACCGGCUAACUCUGUG
rnacentral:rRNA from 1 species